AUGAGCCCGAAAGACAUGGCGUUUAUUGGCUGUAAUGUUCUGGGCCUCGUCUUCUCUCUCAUCGUCUUCGCCACCUCCUGCUGCUGGUGUAAAUCGAGGAAGCGUCUGAUGGUGAUCCACAUGAGUUCAGUGCCUCCUGCAGUGGUCAGUGAAGAUGUUGUUGAUCAUCCGCAUCCAGUCUUUCCUCUUCCAGCCUACAGUCCAGUGCCAUCCUCAGAACCGCCGGCAUAUGAGGAUGAGCGGCGCUCGACUCUCUCUCGCUCUUCUGCUCCGCGGUGGGACAAGAGACGCUGGAUUGAGGAUCUGCAGAACAACAGGAGACCCUUACAAGUCUGAACACAGGCACUGUUUACACUUAAUCCUGCUCUAAACUAGAGCUUCAGUCACCUUUAUUUAAUAUGAGAUCCCGUCAGAGCUCAGUUCAGAGCCUUUUCUUAGUAGAACUUCUAUUUUUUUCCCAUUUAUGCGCCAUCAGGACCGACAGGCUGUGCAAUAUGACCAUACAUAGGUUGUAUGGACAAAAUAAAAAGUGAAUAUUAUUUACUUUAUAUUAUAAUACACAUCGUUUACACUAAUAAUUUGUCUAUUUAUAUAAGCGCAAUAUUACAAAAACAUGAAGAGCAGCACUGAGAGAAAGCUGCAAUCUUGAAAGUACAGUGUUUACAUUCUGCACAUUAUUUAGCGAUAUGUUGGACGUGUAAUCAUUAGCUAAAGUGUUUUAUUUUGUUAAUAUUUAUUUAUAUUUCUACAUUUUUAAUUAAAGAUUUGGUCUGAAGUUGUAAAUAAAGUGAGAAAUAUGAUCACAUAUGAAUGAGGACGCCUCUGAGUGUUUACUUUAUUAUGUUAAGGA
rnacentral:lncRNA from 1 species